CGUAGGUGGCAAGCGUUGUCCGGAUUUAUUGGGCGUAAAGCGAGCGCAGGCGGUUUCUUAAGUCUGAUGUCGAAAGCCCCGGCUCAACCGGGGAGGGUCAUUGGAAACUGGGAGACUUGAGUGCAGAAGAGGAGAGUGGAAUUCCAUGUGUAGCGGUGAAAUGCGUAGAUAUAUGGAGGAACACCAGUGGCGAAGGCGGCUCUCUGGUCUGUAACUGACGCUGAGGCUCGAAAGCGUGGGGAGCAA
rnacentral:rRNA from 1 species